UGUUUCGGCUAGGGGGUCAUCCCGACUUACCAACCCGAUGCAAACUACGAAUACCGAAGAAUGUUAUCACGGGAGACACACGGCGGGUGCUAACGUCCGUCGUGAAGAGGGAAACAACCCAGACCGCCAGCUAAGGUCCCAAAGUCAUGGUUAAGUGGGAAACGAUGUGGGAAGGCACAGACAGCCAGGAUGUUGGCUUAGAAGCAGCCAUCAUUUAAAGAAAGCGUAAUAGCUCACUGGUCGAGUCGGCCUGCGCGGAAGAUGUAACGGGGCUAAACCAUGCACCGAAGCUGCGGCAGCGACACUAUGUGUUGUUGGGUAGGGGAGCGUUCUGUAAGCCUGCGAA
rnacentral:rRNA from 1 species